AUGAAGGAGUGGUGGGUCCAGGUGGGGCUGUUGGCUGUGCCCCUGCUUGCAGCCUAUCUGCACAUCCCCCCGUCCCCCAGCUUUCUUCUGCUCUUCACUCAUGGAAGUCAUCAGGAAAAUUUAUUUUUACCUACAAGGGACUGCGUAUCUUCUACCAAGACUCUGUGGGUGUGGUUGGAAGUCCAGAGAUAGUUGUGCUUUUACACGGCUUUCCAACGUCCAGCUAUGACUGGUACAAGAUUUGCGAAGGUCUGACCCUCAGGUUUCAUCGAGUGAUUGCCCUUGAUUUCCUAGGCUUUGACUUCAGUGACAAACCGAGACCACAUCACUAUUCCAUAUUCGAGCAGGCCAGCAUCGUGGAAGCUCUUUUGCGGCAUCUGGGCCUCCAGAACCGUAGGAUCAAACUGUUGUCUCAUGACUAUGGGGAUAUUGUUGCUCAGGAGCUGCUCUAUAGGUUCAAGCAGAAUCGAUCUGGUCAGCUUACCAUCAAGAGUCUCUGUCUGUCGAAUGGAGGUAUAUUUCCUGAGACUCACCAUCCUCUCCUUCUCCAAAAGCUUCUCAAAGAUGGAGACAUGCUGUCACCCAUCCUCACGCGACUGAUGAACUUCUUCGUAUUCUCUCAAGGUCUCACCCCGGUCUUUGGGCCAUACCCCCGACCCUCUGAGACUGAACUGUGGGACAUGUGGUCAGGGAUACGCAACAAUGACGGGAACUUGGUUAUUGACAGUCUCUUGCAGUACAUCAAUCAAAGGAAAAAGUUUAGAAGACGCUGGGUGGGAGCUCUUGCCUCUGUAUCUAUUCCCAUUCAUUUUAUCUAUGGGCCACUGGAUCCAGUGAAUCCCUAUCCAGAGUUUUUGGAGCUGUACAGGAAAACGCUGCCACGGUCCACAGCUAGAGGAUCCCAUGGGCUUCUUGAAUGCAUAUAUGGGCUUCAUCAACUCCUUCUGAGCUGGAAAGAGUAGCUUUCCUGUAUUAUUUCCCCUAUUCCCUUAUCUGUUGUGUAUUCCACUUAGCAAGAAAUGCCCAAAAGAGGUCCUGGCCACCAAACACUAUUCUCUCACAAAAGUCCACCUGACUCACACUGAUGAACAGCAUAUAGUAAAAAGCCAGCAGAAGCUCUAAGGGUGACCUAAUAGUCCACCUCCCAUUCCUUUGACAUCUGAUCAAGUGUAUGGACUUGCCUUUGUCUUUGUGUUAAUAGGGAAUUCUGAUGGGCACUACUACUUACUGAUGCAGAAAGACAGACAGACAUUCUUUUGCAUAAAAGUCUUUGAAACACUUCUAUGGACUUUUCUGAAAUAUUUAGAAAUGCUAAUUUCUGGCCCUGGUUGGAAUUAUCUAAAGGUGCCACCUUCACCUCGCCUUGAAUGGCUUUAAUUCUCUAAGUGA